rnacentral:lncRNA from 1 species
AGAGGCAGCUGCGGCGCUCCAACCCGACAAGCGUCCCAAGGAGGUGCAGCCCCGGGGAAGCUGGCGACCCUCCCGAGCUGGGAGAAAGACAAACUUCCUCUCGCCCGCACUGCCCCCACGUCCACCGCUGCCCUGGGGGCCCCCUUCGAAGGCGAGGUCACGGCCCGUUUGGUGGUGGCUUGACCGGGGCGUCCCAGAGGAGCCAGCAAGCCCUCGCCUCCUCUGUGGGGUGUUUGCCAAGGACAGCUGGGCUCUGCGCUGCUUGCAGCCGCUGCUCCAGGAAGUCGGCCCCAAGCAGGCUUGCAGGAUUCACUAUAGAAUCCCUGCCUUUCCCCAGAGCCUGCCGGUGUUCUGCGCAGGGCCCUGCCUCGCCUUCCCACGGAGGGACGCGAAGACCCCGGGGUCUCUUCUUUCAGUUUCGCUCCAAGGUGCAGCCGCUUUCCCGGCAGCGGGACGUCUUUUAAUUGGGGACAUGUAUAUGGAUGAGGAUGGCACUCCGCCAGCAAGCCCCAGGUGGGAAGCAUGCCCUCCGGAGGGAGCUGUGCCUAGAACGUCGAAGACAGCAGGAGGAGCUGAAGGCUCUGACAAGGCCGUCAUGUAAAAACAGCAUUAAGGAUCAUGACCUUUUCCCUCGAAUGGACCCAUUUUCGUCUUUUAAUUCCACAAUCAGAGGGAAUGAGCAAUGAAGGGGGAGGAAGGCUGCCUUAUGCGUUCUAGGAUGUUUAGCACCUGCAUACACACAUCCAUAGGGACAGCCAAAUGUCUCCAGACAUUGCUAAAUGCCCCUUGCCAGGGAGUGGCAAAGUCAAAGUCAGAACCUCUGCCUCAAAGGAAGAACAUGGAUCCCCUUUAUCUGUACAUUCUAGGGGCCUAGCACAAGCCCUCUGUGCUGAAAACAUCUCUGAAUUAUCCCAAUCGCCACAUCGAUGCAAUCAUUUUAAAGAUGAAGCAAUUCUGCUGUCUGGAGGACCUAUGCUUCCCCAAGGCCAUAAAAGAGUUGGCAUAGCACCCUAAAUAAUGUGUUUUGUGGGCGGCCUCUCCACCCCCGAUGUGUGCUACUUGACCUGCUUGUUGGCACUGGUGGAGAAACUCCUAACUCGUUUCCUCAUUAGUGCACUGCAUUCAGCUGAAGGACCUAGCUGACCUUUCAUCUGUCCCACAACACUCACAGGAGUAGCGUAAUGGGGAUGGUGGGUCUUGCUAUUUUGUCCAGGUUGGGCUGAACUUGUGAUCCUUCUGCCUCAGCCUCCUGAGUAGCUGGGACUACAGACAUUUACCACUGCAGCCAGCUAAGACUUUUUUUUUAAGUAGGACCUCUGCUUCUGGCCUUAAGAAUAAUGAGUAUUAGGCUGGCAGCCUGUGCACAACCCCAGACCCACACCACAGCAUGGAUUGUGAUCUCUCAGGGAAGAUAAGCUAAUAAGGUAAGCCCUGGGAUCACCCAGGCCUGCUGUGUGGAGGCACUUUGCAGACCAUGGGGCAGAGAAGGAACCCCAAGGAGAGCACAGUCAUCUCACUGAGUUGGGGAGUCAGAGACUGGAAUUCAGGAGGAGGCUACUGGACUCUACGAAGAAGAGUACUGAAAAGGAGGAAACUACACAGAGAAAGAGUUCCAGAGAGCUAUGCAGAAGUCUUCUUGAGCCUUUUGCCAAAUACUAAAUGGGCAUGUGCAGAUGAAACUCCAAGAGCUAGGCAAAAUAUGCUGAAGAAAGAGCAACUUGCAGGGCUAGGGGGUAAUUCAGGGGCUGUAAGACAAACAAUUCCCAAAGUCACACAGAGCUGUGAAACAUUAAAGUUUCAACCAACAAUAGUGAAGAGACCUCACUGAACCAACCCUGGAAGGGCCAGAUCUUGGUAGCACUAAACUAGCCACAGACCUAAGACUGCUGUAGACCUGCCUUAACAAAGAAACUGACCUGAGCUAUCUAACAUGGCAGCCAUUAGCCACGUGUGACUAAUAAACACUUGAAAUAUGGCUAGUCCAAACUGAAAUGUCCCUGAAAUAUAAAAUGCAGACCAGAUUUCUAAGAAUUUGUAUGAAAAAAAGAAUGUAAAUUAUCUCGUGAAUAGUUUUUAUAUAUUGAUUUCAUGUUGAAAUGAUCAUAUUUUGCUAUAAUGGAUUAAAUAAAAUAUAUUAUUAAAAAUAAUUUUACCUUUUUUUACUUUUUUUUUUUUUGAGACGGAGUCUCACUACGUCACCCAGGCUGGAAUGCAAUGGCACGAUCUCGGCUCACUGCAACCUCCACCUCCUGGGUUCAAGUGAUUCUCCUGUCUCAGCCUCCCAAGUAGUUAGGAUUACAGGCACCCACCACCACGCCGGAUAAUUUUUAUAUUUUUAGUAGAGAGGGGUUUCGCCAUGUUGGUCAGGCUGGUCUCGAAAUCCUGACCUUGGGUGAUUCACCUGCCUCAGCCUCCCAAAAUGCUGGGAUUACAGGUGUGAGCCACUGCGCCCAGCCUUUUACUUUUUUAAUGUGGCUACUAUUACAUUUUAAGUUUUGUGUGGCUUGCCUUUGUGGCUACUAGGAGCGAUAUCCUAGAAGCUAUAAAGGAAAAGUUUGAUGAACUUUAUUUAACAAAAAUGUAAAAGUUCUGCAAGGCAAGUGAUAUGGUUUGGCUGUGUCCCCACCCAAACCUCAUCUUGAUUGGUAGCUCGCAUAAUUCCUCUGUGUCAUGGGUGAGACCCAGUGGGAGGUAAUUGAAUCAUGGGGUGGGUUUUUCCCAGGCUGUUCACAUGAUAGUGAAUAAGUUUCAUGAGAUCUGAUGGUUUUAUAAAGGGCAGUUCCCCUGCACAUGCGCUCUUGCCUGCCACCAUGUAAGAUAUGCCUUUGCUCCUCCUUCACCUUCUGCUAUGAUUAUGAGGCCUCCUCAGCCAUGUGGAACUAUGAGUCAAUUAAACCUCUUU